GUGGGGAAUCUUAGACAAUGGGCGCAAGCCUGAUCUAGCCAUGCCGCGUGAGCGAUGAAGGCCUUAGGGUUGUAAAGCUCUUUCAGGGGGGAAGAUAAUGACGGUACCCCCAGAAGAAGCCCCGGCUAACUCCGUGCCAGCAGCCGCGGUAAUACGGAGGGGGCUAGCGUUGUUCGGAAUUACUGGGCGUAAAGCGCACGUAGGCGGACCAGAAAGUCAGGGGUGAAAUCCCGGGGCUCAAACCCGGAACUGCCUUUGAAACUCCUGGGCUUGAGGUCGAGAGAGGUGAGUGGAAUUCAGAGUGUAGAGGUGAAAUUCGUAGAUAUUCGGAGGAACACCAGUGGCGAAGGCGGCUCACUGGCUCGAUACUGACGCUGAGGUGCGAAAGCGUGGGGAGCAAACAGGAUUAGAUACCCUAGUAGUCC
rnacentral:rRNA from 1 species